AACGCACAUUGCGCCCUCUGGUAUUCCGGGGGGCAUGCCUGUUCGAGCAUCAGUACAACGACAAGCUCUGCUUGGUGUUGGCGGUCGCCCUCCCGGGGGCGCCACCUAAAAUCAGCGGCGUAGCUGCCUGGCUCCUAAGCGUAGUAACACUAUUCUCGCUUCGGGUCCCAGGCGGAUUACCGCCGGACAACCCACUAUUUUACAACGUUGAUCUCGGAUCAGGUAGGGAUACCCGCUGAACUUAA
rnacentral:misc_RNA from 1 species